rnacentral:rRNA from 1 species
UACGUAGGGUGCGAGCGUUAAUCGGAAUUACUGGGCGUAAAGCGUGCGCAGGCGGUUUUGUAAGACAGAUGUGAAAUCCCCGGGCUUAACCUGGGAACUGCAUUUGUGACUGCAAGACUAGAGUGCGGCAGAGGGGGGUAGAAUUCCACGUGUAGCAGUGAAGUUCGUAGAUAUUGGGAAGAACACCGGUGGCGAAGGCGGCUCACUGGCCCGUAACUGACGCUCAGGCGCGAUAGCGUGGGGAUCAAACAGG